GACGAACGCUGGCGGCGUGCCUAAUACAUGCAAGUAGGACGCAGUUGCGAACGGGUGAGUAACGCGUAGGUAACUACCUAUUAGAGGGGGAUAACUAUUGGAAACGAUAGCUAAUACCGCAUACUAGUAGAUGGACCUGCGUUGUAUUAGCUAGUAGGUAGGGUAAUGGCCUAACUCGGCAACGAUACAUAGCCGACCUGGGAGGGUGUACGGACACACUGGGACCGAGACACGGCCCAGAAGCCUACGGGAGGCAGCAGUAGGGAAUCGUCGGCAAGGGGGGGAACCCUGACCGAGCAACUCCGCGUGAGUGAAGAAGGGUGUCGGAUCGUAAAGCUCUGUUGUUAAGGAAGCGGUACUUAAACAGAAAGGGACGGCUAACUACGUGCCAGCAGCCGCGGUAAUUC
rnacentral:rRNA from 1 species